UAUAUAUAGGAGGAGCCCAUAGUCUGGCUAUCAGAGAACGUGAAGACGGCCCAGUUCCUGCAAGAUGCCCCCCAUGCUUCCUGUACCACCACCAACAGACACGUUCUGCAAACCGGAGGACCAUCAAGGGAUCAUCUAGAACACGGCAGCUGACUUCCAUCAGAAUUAGAAGCAAGUAAUGAGGUCCAGCCCACCCUCAGGGACAAGAGAUUACACAAAGACACGACUACCAAGAGGCUGGGAUCUUUGAAGGACGUCAGCAAGCUGCCCCCACAUCUUCACUAUCAGUCCCCCAUCCAUCCUUCUCCAAUCCCUCACCUGGCCUUAGAGGCUCUCU